UACGGAGGAUCCGAGCGUUAUCCGGAUUUAUUGGGUUUAAAGGGUGCGUAGGUGGCCUGUUAAGUCAGGGGUGAAAGACGGUAGCUCAACUAUCGCAGUGCCCUUGAUACUGAUGGGCUUGAAUGAACUAGAGGUAGGCGGAAUGUGACAAGUAGCGGUGAAAUGCAUAGAUAUGCCACAGAACACCAAUUGCGAAGGCAGCUUACUAUGGUUUUAUUGACACUGAGGCACGAAAGCGUGGGGAUCAAACAGG
rnacentral:rRNA from 1 species